GAUGAACGCUAGCUACAGGCUUAACACAUGCGAGUCGAGGGGAAACGACAUCGAAAGCUUGCUUUUGAUGGGCGUCGACCGGCGCACGGGUGAGUAACGCGUAUCCAACCUGCCCAUCACUUGGGAAUAACCUUGCGAAAGUAAGACUAAUACCCAAUGAUAUCCCACGAAGACAUCUGAAUGGGAUUAAAGAUUUAUCGGUGAUGGAUGGGGAUGCGUCUGAUUAGCUUGUUGGCGGGGUAACGGCCCACCAAGGCAACGAUCAGUAGGGGUUCUGAGAGGAAGGUCCCCCACAUUGGAACUGAGACACGGUCCAAACUCCUACGGGAGGCAGCAGUGAGGAAUAUUGGUCAAUGGGCGAGAGCCUGAACCAGCCAAGUAGCGUGCAGGAUGACGGCCCUAUGGGUUGUAAACUGCUUUUAUAAGGGAAUAAAGUGGGUCUCGUGAGACUUUUUGCAUGUACCUUAUGAAUAAGGACCGGCUAAUUCCGUG
rnacentral:rRNA from 1 species